rnacentral:lncRNA from 1 species
GUGCUAGAUCCUCAGCAUGGCCCCAAAGGGUCGCCUCCUAACAGUUCCUGAAAAUGUUGGCUUCUGUCCUCUCCCACCUGGGCCUGGGACACCCCUGAUCUGCCGGGCAGGGAGAAUCCCAUAACCUUGGGGCAGAGGGAUCAAGGGACGGUGUCAGGGGUGGUGUACAUGAGGCCAAGAGCCAUGCUGGCAUCCAGUAGCAGUGGA